UUUAUGGAGAGUUUGAUCCUGGCUCAGGAUGAACGCUGGCGGCGUGCCUAAUACAUGCAAGUCGAGCGAACGGACGAGAAGCUUGCUUCUCUGAUGUUAGCGGCGGACGGGUGAGUAACACGUGGAUAACCUACCUAUAAGACUGGGAUAACUUCGGGAAACCGGAGCUAAUACCGGAUAAUAUUUUGAACCGCAUGGUUCAAAAGUGAAAGACGGUCUUGCUGUCACUUAUAGAUGGAUCCGCGCUGCAUUAGCUAGUUGGUAAGGUAACGGCUUACCAAGGCAACGAUGCAUAGCCGACCUGAGAGGGUGAUCGGCCACACUGGAACUGAGACACGGUCCAGACUCCUACGGGAGGCAGCAGUAGGGAAUCUUCCGCAAUGGGCGAAAGCCUGACGGAGCAACGCCGCGUGAGUGAUGAAGGUCUUCGGAUCGUAAAACUCUGUUAUUAGGGAAGAACAUAUGUGUAAGUAACUGUGCACAUCUUGACGGUACCUAAUCAGAAAGCCACGGCUAACUACGUGCCAGCAGCCGCGGUAAUACGUAGGUGGCAAGCGUUAUCCGGAAUUAUUGGGCGUAAAGCGCGCGUAGGCGGUUUUUUAAGUCUGAUGUGAAAGCCCACGGCUCAACCGUGGAGGGUCAUUGGAAACUGGAAAACUUGAGUGCAGAAGAGGAAAGUGGAAUUCCAUGUGUAGCGGUGAAAUGCGCAGAGAUAUGGAGGAACACCAGUGGCGAAGGCGACUUUCUGGUCUGUAACUGACGCUGAUGUGCGAAAGCGUGGGGAUCAAACAGGAUUAGAUACCCUGGUAGUCCACGCCGUAAACGAUGAGUGCUAAGUGUUAGGGGUUUCCGCCCUUAGUGCUGCAGCUAACGCAUUAAGCACUCCGCCUGGGGAGUACGACCGCAAGGUUGAAACUCAAAGGAAUUGACGGGGACCCGCACAAGCGGUGGAGCAUGUGGUUUAAUUCGAAGCAACGCGAAGAACCUUACCAAAUCUUGACAUCCUUUGACAACUCUAGAGAUAGAGCCUUCCCCUUCGGGGGACAAAGUGACAGGUGGUGCAUGGUUGUCGUCAGCUCGUGUCGUGAGAUGUUGGGUUAAGUCCCGCAACGAGCGCAACCCUUAAGCUUAGUUGCCAUCAUUAAGUUGGGCACUCUAAGUUGACUGCCGGUGACAAACCGGAGGAAGGUGGGGAUGACGUCAAAUCAUCAUGCCCCUUAUGAUUUGGGCUACACACGUGCUACAAUGGACAAUACAAAGGGCAGCGAAACCGCGAGGUCAAGCAAAUCCAUAAAGUUGUUCUCAGUUCGGAUUGUAGUCUGCAACUCGACUACAUGAAGCUGGAAUCGCUAGUAAUCGUAGAUCAGCAUGCUACGGUGAAUACGUUCCCGGGUCUUGUACACACCGCCCGUCACACCACGAGAGUUUGUAACACCCGAAGCCGGUGGAGUAACCUUUUAGGAGCUAGCCGUCGAAGGUGGGACAAAUGAUUGGGGUGAAGUCGUAACAAGGUAGCCGUAUCGGAAGGUGCGGCUGGAUCACCUCCUUUCU
rnacentral:rRNA from 1 species